rnacentral:rRNA from 1 species
UAGGGAAUAUUGGACAAUGGGUGAGAGCCUGAUCCAGCCAUGCCGCGUGCAGGAAGAAGGCGUUAUGCGUUGUAAACUGCUUUUUGCCAGGGGAUAAAAUGACCGUGCGCGGUUAAUUGAAGGUACCUGGUGAAUAAGCCACGGCUAACUACGUGCCAGCAGCCGCGGUAAUACGUAGGUGGCAAGCGUUGUCCGGAUUUAUUGGGUUUAAAGGGUGCGUAGGUGGCCCUGUAAGUCAGUGGUGAAAUAUCUCAGCUUAACUGAGAGGGUGCCAUUGAUACUGCAGGGCUUGAGUACAGAUGAGGUAGGCGGAAUUGACGGUGUAGCGGUGAAAUGCAUAGAUAUCGUCAAGAACACCGAUAGCGAAGGCAGCUUACCAAGCUGUAACUGACACUGAGGCACGAAAGUGUGGGGAUCAAACAGGAUUAGAUACCCAAGUAGUCCCUGAGCGGGCUGGCAAGGCGCAU